CUUACCUUAGCUCAGUUUGUAGAGCGGAGGACUGUAGUGGAUGCAUAUCCUUGUAGUCAUCCUUAGGUCGCUGGUUCGAAUCCUACAUGUCGGA
rfam:Cephalotus follicularis DNA, scaffold: scaffold424, isolate: St1.